UACAGAGGUCCCAAGCGUUGUUCGGAUUUACUGGGCGUAAAGGGUGCGUAGGCGGUCAACUAAGUCUGAUGUGAAAUCUUCGAGCUUAACUCGAAAACUGCAUUGGAUACUAUUUGGCUUGAGGAUGGUAGGGGAGACUGGAAUUCUCGGUGUAGCAGUGAAAUGCGUAGAUAUCGAGAGGAACACCAGUGGCGAAGGCGAGUCUCUGGACCAUUCCUGACGCUGAGGCACGAAAGCCAGGGGAGCAAACGGG
rnacentral:rRNA from 1 species